rnacentral:rRNA from 1 species
UACGGAGGGGGCAAGCGUUAUUCGGAAUUAUUGGGCGUAAAGGGCGCGUAGGCGGCUAGAUGUGUCAAAGGUGAAAUCCCUCGGCUCAACUGAGGAACUGCCUUUGAAACUGUCUGGCUUGAGUACGGGAGAGGCGAGUGGAAUUCCUGGUGUAGCGGUGAAAUGCGCAGAUAUCAGGAGGAACACCGAUUGCGAAGGCAGCUCGCUGGAACGUUACUGACGCUGAGACGCGAAAGCGUGGGGAGCAAACAGG